UUGGUCAAAUAUUAAAAAAAUAAAAAUAAAACAAGUAGUUACAUCUUUUUGUCUUGGUUCUCAAAAUGCAUUCUCCACAUCACCGAAGUUGUUUUAAAAAAAAACAAUAGAGUGUUACUUAAGUUUCUUAAUUUAUGUAAUUUAGUUGUUAAUAUACCAAUCAUUUGGUGUAUUUCUAAAAAAAGGUAACGUGACUUGUAUUUAAAAGCCUAUGUAAGGAAUCGUUAGCCAAACCCUGUAAUUUUCCAGCUCUCGUGUUUGCCCUUGUAUACUACUUAAUCGAUAUUUACAGAUAUUUAUAUGUUUUUACACGUAUUGCACUUAUUUAUAAAAAGGAUAUUGGAUUUAAAUAACCCAAAUUUUUAUUAAUUGGCGGAUAGAUGACUCUCACAACUUCCAAUUUUUACCACACCACUCUCCACUUUCAACUUAUUGGCCGAUGACACUCGCAAAUUAACUGAACCCUAACAUAGUUAGUUUUUUGCUGAUGUGACAGUUGUGUGAUGACGUGACAUCUGAAGUAGAAUUUUUUUGAUGACGUGACAGCUGAUGUUGUAUAUGACUUGGCUUUUUUGGUGACGUGGCGACAGACGUGACAUUUGACUUGGUUUUUUAUGACCUUUUUUUUAACGGCAAAUUUCUUUUAUUUCCUGCUGUCUGUGGGACUUGAACCUAAGACAUCCCCCUCCCAAGGUGUUUAAAGGUUUUUUAUGACCUGGCAAAUGAUGUCAGCAAACAGGUGGUGUGAUACAAAUCAAAAGUUAGAAGUGUUAUCGGCUAGUUGAUGAAAGUUUGAGUUAUUUAAAUUCAAUAUCGCUAUAAAAGAUUAAGUAUAUAAUGGACUAGGAUCGUAUUUUAUGUUUAAUAUUAUGCUUCUUUCCAUUUAAUUUACUAAGGGUGAAGGGAAUGGUUACCUAAUGGAAUAGGUAAACUUCCAAUUCACCAAAUCACAUAGCGUCAUGUCAAUUGUUUACCUAAUGCUAAAAAACGUUAUCGGUGAUUUACCUAAUGAGGUUUAGAUAA
rnacentral:lncRNA from 1 species